AACCACACAUUUCUCAAUUCAAUGACUAAAAAACUAAUAGCACAAAAUCCUUAGUGCUAUUGAUAAUAUUCCAACAUAAUUCUAUAUAUAUAUAUAUAUAUAUAUAUAUAUAGGCUGGGGCUAUGAGUAUAGACCUCCUUAUACUCAUAAAUUUUUAACCGUUGAUUAAUGAGAUGUGUGGUUAGGAUGAUGGUGACCCCUACUUAAAAUGAUAAUGGUCCCCUAGGGUUGAGUGGAUAGUUCGUUAAAUAAUUUGAUCUAACGGAUGAAAAUGAUUAAUGGAAUAAAUCUAAGUGUCGAAAACUUAUGAGUAUAAGGGAGCCAAUACUCAUAAAAGUAUAGGAGCCGGACUCUAUAUAUAU
rnacentral:lncRNA from 1 species